rnacentral:rRNA from 1 species
AGUGAACGCUGGCGGUAGGCCUAACACAUGCAAGUCGAACGGCAGCACAGUAAGAGCUUGCUCUUACGGGUGGCGAGUGGCGGACGGGUGAGGAAUACAUCGGAAUCUACUUUUUCGUGGGGGAUAACGUAGGGAAACUUACGCUAAUACCGCAUACGACCUACGGGUGAAAGCAGGGGAUCUUCGGACCUUGCGCGAUUGAAUGAGCCGAUGUCGGAUUAGCUAGUUGGCGGGGUAAAGGCCCACCAAGGCGACGAUCCGUAGCAGGUCUGAGAGGAUGAUCAGCCACACUGGAACUGAGACACGGUCCAGACUCCUACGGGAGGCAGCAGUGGGGAAUAUUGGACAAUGGGCGCAAGCCUGAUCCAGCCAUACCGCGUGAGUGAAGAAGGCCUUCGGGUUGUAAAGCCCUUUUGUUGGGAAAGAAAAGAAGCAGGUUAAUACCCCGAUGUUCUGACGGUACCCAAAGAAUAAGCACCGGCUAACUUCGUG